GAUGAAGAACGUAGCGAAAUGCGAUACUUGGUGUGAAUUGCAGAAUCCCGCGAAUCAUCGAAUUUUUGAACGCAAGUUGCGCCCGAAGCCAUUCGGCCGAGGGCACGUCUGCCUGGGUGUCACGCAUCGUUGCCCCCCCAAACUCCGGUUCGGGCGGGGCGGAAGUUGGCCUCCCGUGCGUGCCUGCGCGCGCGGUUAGCCCAAAAGCGAGUCCUCGGCGAUGAGCGCCACGACAAUCGGUGGUUUUUUUACCCUCGUUCCUCGUCGUGCGUGCCCCGUCGCCCGAACGCGCUCUUGCAACCCUUACGCGUCGCCUCGGUGGCGCUCCCAACGCGACCCCAGGUCAGGCGGGACUACCCGCUGAGUUUAAGCAUAUCAAUAAGCGGAGGA
rnacentral:misc_RNA from 1 species